CCUACGGUGCGCAGCAGUAGGGAAUAUUGCUCAAUGGGGGAAACCCUGAAGCAGCAACGCCGCGUGGAGGAUGAAGGUUUUCGGAUUGUAAACUCCUUUUGUUAGAGAAGAUAAUGACGGUAUCUAACGAAUAAGCACCGGCUAACUCCGUGCCAGCAGCCGCAGUAAUACGGAGGGUGCAAGCGUUACUCGGAAUCACUGGGCGUAAAGAGCGCGUAGGCGGGAUAGCAAGUCAGAUGUGAAAUCCUAUGGCUUAACCAUAGAACUGCAUUUGAAACUGUUAUUAUAGCGUAUGGGAGAGGUAGGUGGAAUUCUUGGUGUAGGGGUAAAAUCCGUAGAGAUCAAGAGGAAUACUCAUUGCGAAGGCGACCUGCUAGAACAUAACUGACGCUGAUGCGCGAAAGCGUGGGGAGCAAACAGGAUUAGAUACCCUAGUAGUC
rnacentral:rRNA from 1 species